GGCCCAAUGGUCUAGUCGUAUGAUUCGCGCUUCAUAUAACCCACCAACUGCUGUUACUUGUGCGCGCGGCUCGGGUUCAAUUCCCGAUUGGGCCC